GGUGAGUAUGUGGUUUAAUUCGACGCAACGCGCAGAACCUUUACCUGGUCUUGACAUCCCGAGAAUUUUCUGGAAACAGAGAAGUGCCUCGCAAGAGGAAUUCGGAGACAGGUGCUGCAUGGCUGUCGUCAGCUCGUGUCGUGAGAUGUUGGGUUAAGUCCCGCAACGAGCGCAACCCUUGUCUUUAGUUGCCAUCAUUAAGUUGGGCACUCUAAAGAGACUGCCGGUGUCAAACCGGAGGAAGUGGGGAUGACGUCAAGUCCUCAUGGCCUUUAUGACCAGGGCUACACACGUACUACAAUGGCAGGUACAAAGGGCAGCCACUUAGCGAUAAGGCGCGAAUCCCGUAAAACCUGUCUCAGUCCGGAUUGGAGUCUGCAACUCGACUCCAUGAAGUUGGAAUCGCUAGUAAUCGCAGAUCAGCACGCUGCGGUGAAUACGUUCCCGGGCCUU
rnacentral:rRNA from 1 species